ensembl:snRNA U7 U7 small nuclear RNA
CAAAGGUUACAGGCUCUUUUAGAAUUUGUCUACCAGGCUUUCUGGUUUUUACCGGAAAGCCCUG